GUGCUCUGAUGCUUAUUGCACCACAUGUGUUUUUCUUUGAAACAAACUUGCUUUGGCGGUGGGCCCAGCCUGCCGCCAGAGGUCUAAACUUACAACCAAUUUUUUAUCAACUUGUCACACCAGAUUAUUACUAAUAGUCAAAACUUUCAACAACGGAUCUCUUGGUUCUCGCAUCGAUGAAGAACGCAGCGAAAUGCGAUACGUAAUAUGAAUUGCAGAUAUUCGUGAAUCAUCGAAUCUUUGAACGCACAUUGCGCCCUCUGGUAUUCCGGAGGGCAUGCCUGUUUGAGCGUCGUUUCUCCCUCAAACCGCUGGGUUUGGUGUUGAGCAAUACGACUUGGGUUUGCUUGAAAGACGGUAGUGGUAAGGCGGGAUCGCUUUGACAAUGGCUUAGGUCUAACCAAAAACAUUGCUUGCGGCGGUAACGUCCACCACGUAUAUCUUCAAACUUUGACCUCAAAUCAGGUAGGACUACCCGCUGAACUUAAGCAUAUCAAAAGCGGGG
rnacentral:rRNA from 1 species